ACGGAGGGUGCAAGCGUUGUUCGGAAUUAUUGGGCGUAAAGCGCGUGUAGGCGGUUCGGUAAGUCAGAGGUGAAAGCCCUUGGCUUAACCAAGGAACGGCCUUUGAAACUGUUUAGCUUGAGUAUGGGAGGGGGAAGCGGAAUUCCCGGCGUAGAGGUGAAAUGCGUAGAUAUCGGGAGGAACACCGGUGGCGAAGGCGGCUUCCUGGACCGAUACUGACGCUGAGGCGCGAAAGCGUGGGGAGCAAACAG
rnacentral:rRNA from 1 species